UAGCAUAUCAAUAAGCGGAGGAAAAGAAACCAACAGGGAUUGCCUCAGUAACGGCGAGUGAAGCGGCAACAGCUCAAAUUUGAAAUCUGGCCCCGUCGGGGUCCGAGUUGUAAUUUGUAGAGAGUGUUUCGGGUUAGACCACGGUCUAAGUCCAUUGGAACAUGGCGUCAUAGAGGGUGAGAAUCCCGUAUGUGACUGUGGUUCGAGCCCAUGUGAAGCCUCUUCGACGAGUCGAGUUGUUUGGGAAUGCAGCUCAAAAUGGGUGGUAAAUUUCAUCUAAAGCUAAAUAUUGGCUGGAGACCGAUAGCGCACAAGUAGAGUGAUCGAAAGAUGAAAAGCACUUUGGAAAGAGAGUCAAAAAGUACGUGAAAUUGUUGAAAGGGAAGCGCUUGCAACCAGACCUGUCCGUAGGUGAUCAGCCGCUGUUCUCAGCGGUGCACUCGCUCUGCGAUCAGGCCAGCAUCGGUUUCGGCGGCCGGAUAAAGGCCUUGGGAAUGUAGCUUCUCUCGGGGAGUCUUAUAGCCCUCGGUGCAAUGCGGCCAGCCGGGACCGAGGACCGCGCUUCGGCUAGGAUGCUGGCGUAAUGGUUGUCAGCGACCCGUCUUGAAACACGGACCAAGGAGUCUAACAUCUAUGCGAGUGUUUGGGUGUUAAACCCAUGCGCGGAAUGAAAGUGAACGGAGGUGAGAACCCUUUAGGGCGCAUCAUCGACCGAUCCAGAUGUCUUCGGAUGGAUUUGAGUAUGAGCAUAGCUGUUGGGACCCGAAAGAUGGUGAACUAUGCCUGAAUAGGGUGAAGCCAGAGGAAACUCUGGUGGAGGCUCGCAGCGGUUCUGACGUGCAAAUCGAUCGUCAAAUUUGGGUAUAGGGGCGAAAGACUA
rnacentral:rRNA from 1 species